AAUUAGUGGCGUCGAAAACGGCUACCUCGCCGUCCCCGCUCUCCAGCCAUUGACAGACAUCAUUGAGAGCAUCCAUCGCACACUGGGUUAUGUUUCUAAACCGUGAUUGCAGAUGCAAUAGCGCGCGUAAAGGAAAACUACAUUUUUAUAAAUCAAAAUAAACAUAUAUCAACGAUUCCGUAUUGUUAGUAAUAUUCCUUCGUGUGCAGAACCUCAGGGAAGUGUAAAAAGGAACAGAAGAAUAUUGAUGAUACAAUAAAAUAUGGCAUGCCGUUCUCGAGGGGUCAUCGAUUUUGGGUUCCUGAAGUACCUAGGAUGCAGGAAGAAGACACAGGAUUUUAGCUGUACUAAUAUAUUUGCUAAUCUUUUUAAUAUAUUAUAUAAAUAUUAAGAAACUGUAAUCGAUUUUGAAAAUUAUAUUUAACAUUAAAUUAGCAAGAUUUUGUCCACAUUAUUUUAGUAAUGAGAAGCAUACAACUUCAAUUUUGUGUAGAUAAUACUUAUAAAAUAAUACUUACAAAGUAUUUCGAACGAUCUAUGUGUUUAAAAUUCAUAUUUACGCGCGUUUUCUGAAAAGAAUACCACCGACGACACCUUGUGGCAGUAGGCGGAAGCAACAGUGAGUAGCGGACGUUUCACAAGUCCGCCGUCAGAUGACGCCGCACGUACCUGUUUUUUUUCGCAAUUUGAUUAAUAUUGGCUUUCUUCAAAUUAAUGAAUAGUAUAACAUAAUUAUUAACAAA